UACAGAGGGAGCAAGCGUUAUCCGGAAUGAUUGGGCGUAAAGCGUCUGUAGGUGGUUCGUAAAGUUUAAUGUCAAAUACCAGGGCUUAACCCUGGACCGGCAUUGAAGCACUCACGGACUUGAGUACGGUAGAGGCAGAGGGAAUUCCAUGUGGAGCGGUGAAAUGCGUAGAUAUCGGGAGGAACACCAGUGGCGAAGGCGACUACCUGGCCUGUUCUUGACGCUGAGGCGCGAAAGCUAGGGGAGCAAACGGG
rnacentral:rRNA from 1 species